UACUCGAGUGGCGAACGGGUGAGUAACACGUGGGUGAUCUGCCCUGCACUCUGGGAUAAGCCUGGGAAACUGGGUCUAAUACCGGAUAGGACCAUGCUUUAGUGUGUGUGGUGGAAAGUUUUUUCGGUGUAGGAUGAGCCCGCGGCCUAUCAGCUUGUUGGUGGGGUAACGGCCUACCAAGGCGGCGACGGGUAGCCGGACUGAGAGGUUGGUCGGCCACAUUGGGACUGAGAUACGGCCCAG
rnacentral:rRNA from 1 species